rnacentral:rRNA from 1 species
UGAACGCUGGCGGCAGGCCUAACACAUGCAAGUCGCGCGGAUGAAGGGAGCUUGCUCCUGGCUUCAGCGGCGGACGGGUGAGUAAUGCCUAGGAAUCUGCCUGGUAGUGGGGGAUAACGUCCGGAAACGGGCGCUAAUACCGCAUACGUCCUGAGGGAGAAAGUGGGGGAUCUUCGGACCUCACGCUAUCAGAUGAGCCUAGGUCGGAUUAGCUAGUUGGUGGGGUAAAGGCCUACCAAGGCGACGAUCCGUAACUGGUCUGAGAGGAUGAUCAGUCACACUGGAACUGAGACACGGUCCAGACUCCUACGGGAGGCAGCAGUGGGGAAUAUUGGACAAUGGGCGAAAGCCUGAUCCAGCCAUGCCGCGUGUGUGAAGAAGGUCUUCGGAUUGUAAAGCACUUUAAGUUGGGAGGAAGGGCAGUAAGUUAAUACCUUGCUGUUUUGACGUUACCAACAGAAUAAGCACCGGCUAACUUCGUG